UACGUAGGGGGCAAGCGUUGUCCGGAUUUAUUGGGCGUAAAGAGCGUGUAGGCGGCUUUACAGGUCCGUUGUGAAAACUCGAGGCUCAACCUCGAGACGCCGGUGGAAACCGUAAGGCUAGAGUCCGGAAGAGGAGAGUGGAAUUCCUGGUGUAGCGGUGAAAUGCGCAGAUAUCAGGAAGAACACCAGUGGCGAAGGCGGCUCACUGGACCGGUACUGACGCUGAUGCGCGAAAGCGUGGGGAGCAAACGGG
rnacentral:rRNA from 1 species